ACGGUGAAUAGUUGGCCCUGUGAGGCCUAGUGUGACCUGUGAGGCCUGUGGGUUUAGUGGGGUCUGGGGUGACCCUGUAGGACCUGUAGGUUAAGCGGGGCCUCGGGUGACCCUGUAGGGCCUGUGACUUGAUUGGGGUCCAGUGUGACCUGGGGCUGCCUGGUGAGUCUCCAUGGUGUAUCGUGUGAGUUCUGUGAUGUCUAUGAACUCCAAAGAGGCCUAACAACUCCACGAGUCCUGUGGGCCCCACGAGGGGCCUCCGGGGGGUAGGGGAGGCCCAGGGAGGCCCAACGCAGUGGCUGUGGCUCCUGCGGCCCAGGCUGCUCAGGACGUUCCUGGGAGGCCGGUGAGGCACUCGGAGGCGGCCUGGG
rnacentral:lncRNA from 1 species